CCGGGUGGCCGGCGGGUGCCAGCCGCCAUGGAGGCCGUGCCCCGCAUGCCCAUGAUCUGGCUGGACCUGAAGGAGGCCGGUGACUUUCACUUCCAGCCAGCUGUGAAGAAGUUUGUCCUGAAGAAUUAUGGAGAGAACCCAGAAGCCUACAAUGAAGAACUGAAGAAGCUGGAGUUGCUCAGACAGGUAGGAGGAUAGUAUUGUCUUUUUAUGCAUGGGUAGACAGGAUUGGUUUGAUAGGGAGAUAAAGAAACUGCCUA
rnacentral:sRNA from 1 species